rnacentral:rRNA from 1 species
GAUGAACGCUGACAGAAUGCUUAACACAUGCAAGUCGAUUCGAUUUACCUUCGGGUAUUGAGGAUGGCGGACGGGUGAGUAACGCGUAAGGAACUUGCCUCUUGGUCUGGGACAACUGUUGGAAACGACAGCUAAUACCGGAUAUUAUGAGAUUCUCGCAUGGGAAACUUAUGAAAGCUAUAUGCGCCAAGAGAGAGCCUUGCGUUCCAUUAGCUAGUUGGUGGGGUAACGGCCCACCAAGGCGACGAUGGAUAGCCGGCCUGAGAGGGUGAACGGCCACAAGGGGACUGAGACACGGCCCUUACUCCUACGGGAGGCAGCAGUGGGGAAUAUUGGACAAUGGGCCACAAGCCUGAUCCAGCAAUUCUGUGUGCACGAUGAAGGUCUUCGGAUUGUAAAGUGCUUUCAGUUGGGAAGAAGAAAGUGACGGUACCAACAGAAGAAGCGACGGCUAAAUACGUGCCAGCAGCCGCGGUAAUACGUAUGUCGCAAGCGUUAUCCGGAUUUAUUGGGCGUAAAGCGCGUCUAGGCGGAAAAAUAAGUCUGAUGUUAAAAUGCGGGGCUCAACUCCGUAUUGCGUUGGAAACUGUUUUUCUAGAGUACUGGAGAGGUGGGCGGAACUACAAGUGUAGAGGUGAAAUUCGUANAUAUUUGUAGGAAUGNCGAUGGAGAAGUCAGCUCACUGGACAGANACUGACGCUAAAGCGCGAAAGCNUGGGGAGCAAACAGGAUUAGAUACCCUGG